rnacentral:rRNA from 1 species
GGCGGUAUGCCUAAUACAUGCAAGUCGAACGCUGAAACACUCUGCUUGCAGAGUGUGGAUGAGUGGCGAACGGGUGAGUAACACGUGGGGAACCUGCCCAUAAGAGGGGGAUAACAUCCGGAAACGGGUGCUAAUACCGCAUAGGUGAUCAUAGCGCAUGCUUAGAUCAUUAAAGAUGGCUUCGGCUAUCGCUUAUGGAUGGCCCCGCGGCGUAUUAGCUAGUUGGUGAGGUAAUGGCUCACCAAGGCUGUGAUACGUAGCCGACCUGAGAGGGUGAUCGGCCACACUGGAACUGAGACACGGUCCAGACUCCUACGGGAGGCAGCAGUAGGGAAUCUUCCACAAUGGGCGAAAGCCUAAUGGAGCAAUACCGCGUGAGUGAAGAAGGUCUUCGGAUCGUAAAGCUCUGUUGUUAGAGAAGAACAAGAGGUGUAGUAACUGGCACCUCCUUGACGGUAUCUAACCAGAAAGUCACGGCUAACUACGUGCCAGCAGCCGCGGUAAUACGUAGGUGACAAGCGUUGUCCGGAUUUAU